rfam:Picea glauca, whole genome shotgun sequence.
GAUAGUUCAGCUGAGUGGUUCAAUGCUCCAGAUUUAGCCUCUGGCUUGAAAGGGCGUGGGUUCAAUUCCCACAAUUAUAA